GCCCAGCUUGCUGGGUUGAUUAGUGGCGAACGGGUGAGUAACACGUGAGUAACCUGCCCCUGACUCUGGGAUAAGCGUUGGAAACGACGUCUAAUACUGGAUAUGAUCACUGGUCGCAUGGCCUGGUGGUGGAAAGAUUUUUUGGUUGGGGAUGGACUCGCGGCCUAUCAGCUUGUUGGUGAGGUAAUGGCUCACCAAGGCGACGACGGGUAGCCGGCCUGAGAGGGUGACCGGCCACACUGGGACUGAGACACGGCCCAGACUCCUACGGGAGGCAGCAGUGGGGAAUAUUGCACAAUGGGCGAAAGCCUGAUGCAGCAACGCCGCGUGAGGGAUGACGGCCUUCGGGUUGUAAACCUCUUUUAGUAGGGAAGAAGCGAAAGUGACGGUACCUGCAGAAAAAGCACCGGCUAACUACGUGCCAGCAGCCGCGGUAAUACGUAGGGUGCAAGCGUUGUCCGGAAUUAUUGGGCGUAAAGAGCUCGUAGGCGGUUUGUCGCGUCUGCUGUGAAAUCCCGAGGCUCAACCUCGGGCUUGCAGUGGGUACGGGCAGACUAGAGUGCGGUAGGGGAGAUUGGAAUUCCUGGUGUAGCGGUGGAAUGCGCAGAUAUCAGGAGGAACACCGAUGGCGAAGGCAGAUCUCUGGGCCGUAACUGACGCUGAGGAGCGAAAGCAUGGGGAGCGAACAGGAUUAGAUACCCUGGUAGUCCAUGCCGUAAACGUUGGGCGCUAGAUGUAGGGACCUUUCCACGGUUUCUGUGUCGUAGCUAACGCAUUA
rnacentral:rRNA from 1 species